rnacentral:lncRNA from 1 species
CCGACCAUGGAAUUUGAAAAAUCUCUGAAUGUAUUAUUAGUGAUAUAGCAUUCAACAUUAAUAAGAUCCUUACUCUCCAAAAAAAUGGUCUCUCAUCUGCUCCUUAGGCCAUAGCCUUUGAUUGGCCCGAUUGAAGGAGUCUUUGAUCGACUUUAAUUAAAAUGAGAUGGCCUUUGAUCGAUCCAACUGAAGGAGCUUUUAAUCAGUUUUAAAUAAAAUGAGAUGGCCUUUGAUCGGUCUGACUGAAGGAGCCUUUGAUCGACUUUAAAAUGAGGUGACUUUUGUUUAGCCUGACCAAGGAAUAGUCAUCAAUUGAAAGUAACGUGCAUGCACGACACAUAGAAAAGAGUAAACUAACUUUUCAUUAAAAGUAUUUAUAGAAAAUGAUGCUUCAAGCACCGCUCCAAAAAAAAAGAAAAGGAGGGAUGAGGAACUAUUCCUCAUCUGAGGAAGGGGCCCCUACCUCCUCAUCACUAUUGCCAAGGAGGAGGUAGCAAAGGUCCAGUUACGGCAACAUCCACCCC